rnacentral:piRNA from 1 species
UUAGACAUUAUUGUUUGGGAUUAAAGU